AGUGGAGUUUGGAGUGUGACUGUUUGAGGUUGUGGACAGGCCUCUCUUAUCUUUUUUUUUUUAGUGGGAGAACUUGCACAAUUGGUGGCUGACUAAAUACUUUUUUGUCCCACUGUAUGUGUAUAUAUAUCAUUGAUGAAUUCAUCUAGGCAAAGUCAAAAUGUACUUUAUGCAUGACGUUUUAUUUAAUGAAGUAUUAUAAAAUAUACUGCAUCUGCUUGAAUUUCAAAAUGCGAUAAAUGCGAAGGAAAAUCUACAGUAUCUGUGUUUGAGCAUUCGCAUUAUGAUUUCAGCUUUUUGCAAAUUGUCUUUAAGCUUUGAAUAUUGUAUUACUACCAAUAAAAUGUAUUACUACCAGCAAGGAGAUUAGUUGAAAAUAGCUUUUUAUUAAUUUUAUUUAUGGUUGGCAACAUGUUCUUGUACAAAGAGUAAGCAUUGCAUUGAACGUUUGAAUAGUAAAAAGCCUGACUUAAGUUGUAGAAUACUGUUAUGCGUAUCAAUAGAUAGUAUUGAAACAAAGAAUAAAAUAAAAUAUUUGUUUUCAUAGUCCUACUGCCAAAGUUGAAAUAGUUGCAGUUAUUGCAUUAUAUCAAUAUUUUUCAAUCUGCAAAGUACAUGCUUGUGUUUCAUUUUACGUUUGUUGUUUGUCAUGGGCCAUUGUGUGUGCCCAGGAAUGAUUGUCCAUUCAAUAACUAAAGAUGAAGCUCAACUAAUACUUAAAGGCGUCUGCUAAAGGGAGACAUACAUGGCUAUAGAAACAAUUGCAAUAGCACUUUUUCUAGAAGGGGAAAAUGUAUAGUAUAUUUAUUGUUAUAACAUUUUUGAAACUAUUUCCUUUUUACAAUAACAAAAAAAUGUAUUUGUUCACACAAAAUGCGCCAUGCCUAUUUGUCUAUAAUACAUACCCGUUGCUUCAUUUUAAAGUAUCAGUAUCUGCAAAAUAUUUUAAAAGCUCUUGUGAACAUUUCAAGUACUACUCGUUACUCAUUUUUACUUAGCUCUGGAAUGAAUUUGUUUAAAUAGUCACUCAAUCAGUUUUGUUUGUGACCUAAAUCAUUGUAAGGAAACAUGGCACUGGAAAACAUGAUGUUGUUUCUGCUUCUAAGUUGUUAUUGGUAUUUAGAGCUGAUGUAUCACUGUUUAUGAUGUAUCUUGUAUAUGUACAUUUACUAUGAAACUAUAAACCUCAAAUGUAAUACAUUUA